AAUGACUCGCUGCAAAAUCUCCUCUCUGUUUCAGGGCUACAACACAGAUUUUCCUCUUGCAAAGGCCCAGCUCUGCAGACAGGCACUACCCUCACUGCAGGGAAAUCAGCAGGAUGUCUUGGGGCAAAGCCAGUGACCGUUGAAGCAGCUACUGGUACCUGUGGGGAGCACGAACUGGAGCUGCAGGAUUUGUCACCUGCUGGCACCAGCUCGGGGAGGGGACAGUGAGGAGGACAAGGAGCUGCUGGGGGAAGGUCAAACCAAAGGUCCAGAGCACAGCAGUCCGUUCUGUCUCUCCCAAACCACAUGAGAACAGCCUGCAGCAGUUUCCUGGUGGUUGUAUGUGCCUCGGUUUCCCCAGUUCUCAGUGCACAGUUCCAAGGUGGUGCCCCAAGAUGAGAGGUCUGGUGGUGCCUACGCCUGGAUGAGAGCAGUUCUUGGGGAUGAGCUUCACAAAACACGUGGGAGAAGGGAGGCAGGGAGGGAUGGGGGCGAGAGAAGGAAGCUGGAGGCUUGUUUAGCCUGAGGGCAAACUUCUCCUGGCCUCUCCAUCUCUGGGGCCUGUGCAGCAGCUCAGGCAGCUCCAGGCUGAUCUCUUCUUAGCAGGCACCAAGAGAAGCAUCCUGGCUCCCCCUGCCACCCCACCUGUCCCUCCAGACCACAACAAGGCUCUCCAAAAUCCCAGGCAGAGCUUCCCUUCCCAUUCCACUGGGACACAGCAGCCCCUGGGACAGCACAGCCAGGACCAGGAAUGUAUUUUCCAUGCUUUGGGCACUGGUGUGGGCUGGGGACACCCUGUGCCAUCAGAGCCAUUUGUCACCCCAGGCCACUCUGGAACAGGGUGGGGGGAGCUGCUCUGCUGCCUCUGCCAGGCAUCACUCCCGUGCUGCAAACCAAACCCUGCAGAGGAGCAUCCCCGGGAGCCAUAUGGUGUCUCAGGCUUUGGUGGAGCCCAACAAAACCCAGAGCAGCCCAGCAGGUCGGACUGUGAGCCAUGGUGAGCCCAGGGAACCUGUCCUGCCCUGCUCAGGGCUGCCAGGAGUGUGUUGGUGUCUCCUGCCUGGUGGAGCUGCUGAGACUGGGGGGUUUGCAAGUAAAGGAGGAUGGUUUUGUGGUCAAGUGAUGCAUGUGGAGGGAGCAGCAUCUCAGAGCAGCAUCCCAAACAGCAAUCAGACAGCAGGAGAGCCAGGGGAGCUCGGGGACAUGCCUGUGCCAGGAAAGCCACGACUGAAACCUGCUCUCAGGGCUGAGGGCAGCACAGCCAAGCCACCAUGGCUUGCUGGAGAUGCCUGCCCUGAGCUCUGCUCCCUCUGGGGGGAUCAACAGUGCUGCAGCACACAGGGGGAGGGCUACACGUGGCUCUAGCCUGAUAGAGACCACCCAAGCAAGGCCCAAACCCACACAGGCCAGAAAAAUGACUCAGGAGAAUCACUUUGUGAUGCUCUGAGUUUGCUGUGGAAAGACACAGCCCGGGUCGGCUGAAUCUCAAAACUUAUAUUAAGCAUUUGCUGCCUGGUUUCCAGGAGCUGUGAGCAGCAUUUCCCAUGCUGGGAAACAGGCUGGAGGAGGGAUGUGUGCCCUCCACCUGGAGCUGUGGGGGCUGCAGUGACUCACUGAUAGCAGGGGGAUGCCCAGAAAGGACCUGUGGAUGUUUAUGUUGCAAAGGCUUCUGGAGGUUUGCUGUAUAAUUACAGUUAUGUAAAAAAAAAAAAAAAAAAAAAAAAGAGGCAGAUUUCAGAGUUUACUCUAAAUUAAAAAGGGAGGAAUGAUUGUUUCUGACUGGUCAUGGAUUCAUUUUUUAAUUAUGUACCCACAAUGUGUUGUCAUGCAAGAAAAAUCUAACCCUUACAAAAACUCAUUUCAAAAUCAGUAAGUGCAACAUUUUUUUAAUCAUUGUCUAAGAAGGCUGUUGCAGGACUGCUGGGACUUCCCUUUUCCCCAGAAUGAUAUUCUGGUAUAAUUAAUGGGGCAUUUGGACUCUGAUAGCAUUUGCUUCCAUCCAGUUUCUCACGAAAA